AGAAAUCACAAUGAAAAAAAUGAUAAUAUCACACAAGUGUCAAGGCAGGCAUAUCAGAAGCAUCACCCAACCUUUUGUUAAGCAAGUCAGUGCAAACAAUCCAACCACCUGGGCCUUUGGGCUGGGGCAGCGAUGAGAGAUACUAACCUUCCUAAAACUAAGAAGUGGAUUUUGAGCGGAGAUAUACUGCUAGACCAAACCAGGAGCUGGCUCUUCCUCUGCCAAGCUAAAAUGCCAAGCCCUCUUUCUGUACUUGGACACCUACUGAGAACAACCAACAAGACUUCUCUGCUUGGUAUAUUCUAUUCUCCUUAUUGCCUUCUUAAAAUUUGGGGGCUAGAGAAGUAGUUCCAUGUGCUUAGCCUAUGGGAGGCUCUGGGUUCCAUCCCCAUACUAAAACGCAAAAUAUGAAAGAAAAUUAAAUAAUGAAUUCUGGGCUUAUUUGCCCUUUGAAAUCCUUACCAAUCAGUCCCCUUCAUUUUUUCCCCCUUUCCCAUUUCUAUCUUCAGAGUAGUGGAUCUUUGACUUUAAGGAUUUUACAUUUUAGUGGAUACAGCUUUUUUAGUUUAUUCAACUUACCAGCUCAUUCACAUCGUUCCUGGGAAUCCAUAUUUGCACAAUAAAUGUGUUCUAAAGGUGUUUUGUAAAUGUGUGCAGAAGGGGAGUGGUUCUCCAUUUUAAUAGCAUAAUGGGACAUAUAAAAGACAUGCCUUCUGAAUCCA
rnacentral:lncRNA from 1 species